UCUCCGGCCAGGCCUCCUGGGCAGCACCUUGCAGAAGAAAGAAUCUUUAAGAUGAGCCACAAGAAUUGCUGCCCAAGUUUCCAGCCUUUGGCCGGAGGACUCUGAGGUCACUGCUGAAUUAUUAUCAGGGGCUUGUGAUUCUGUGCCAAGCAAUGCCUGUGGAAUGGGUAAAUGUUUCAUAUGUCACUUUUUCAAACAUAUAUUGAUAAUGUCAUUAAUAAAAUAUAAACGGGUCUUGCUGUUUUGCCCAGGCAAACUCCUGGGCUCAAGAGAUCUUUCUAUCUUGGCCUCCCAAUGUGCUGGGAUUACAAGUGUGAGCCACCAUGCCCAGCCAAAAAAAAUUUGUUUGGAUAGCAUAUAUUCUUUCUUUGGUGGGCAGGCUGACCGAGUUUAAUAAAGCCUUCAAAUCUGAGAAGCCAGAUGGGCUGGGGCAGUUGAUUUUCCCUUGUCCCAUUGAUGAUCAGCUUCUUUUUAUGUAUUUAUUUGUCAUGGUUUUGAUUGGUCUUCCAUCUCACAAAGCAGUGAGAAUACAA
rnacentral:lncRNA from 1 species